rnacentral:lncRNA from 1 species
AACUUGCGCCAUCCAAAUUGCCAGCUCAAAAGAGCAGGAGCCAUUUUGUCUAAGGCAAGGGCUAACUACAAAAACCGAAGACAUGUUUAACUGUUACUCAUUGUAUACAACUAAUAAGGCCUAAAUACACAAAAGUGUUAGGGACCGCCUGUUGAUAGUGUUUAUGCACAAACUGCAUGGUUGUCCAAUGGCUUGAUAUUUUAAGUUCGUGCGGGUGUGCCGUGUUUGCCCUCUGCCUGAAGCGAGAAUCAUAUUUUCAGGAAGCUGGAGUUAGCAGUUGUGAGCCACUUGUGUGUUCUGAUAUACAAACUUCUUUAAAGGCAUCAAGUAUUCUUGACAGAACAAUUUCUCAAGCCACCCUGCUAAAUGAUCUUUUGUCACUCCUCAUACAAAGGCCUAAAAUAAAUGUAAAUUUAAUAUUUGUGGCCCACUUUAAUCCAUAAAACUGUUAAAUGACUUUAAAAACUGAGUUGUUUACAUUCUUCAUCCCAGACUCCCGGUACUGUUUUUGUUAUGUUGGAGCGUUGAACUCAAACCCUAACAUUUUCAUAAUAAAUAAAUAAAUAAAUAAAUCCUUAAUUUUUAA